CGUAGUGGCAAGCGUUGUCCGGAGUUACUGGGUGUAAAGGGCGUGUAGGCGGGUGAUCAAGUCAGAUGUGAAAUUCCAUGGCUCAACUGCGGCGCUGCAUCUGAAACUGGUCAUCUUGAGUGAUGGAGAGGAAAGCGGAAUUCCUAGUGUAGCGGUGAAAUGCGUAGAUAUUAGGAGGAACACCAGUGGCGAAGGCGGCUUUCUGGACAUUAACUGACGCUGAGGCGCGAAAGCGUGGGGAGCAAACAGGAUUAGAUACCCUGGUAGUCCACGCUGUAAACGAUGGAUACUAGGUGUAGGAGGUAUCGACCCCUUCUGUGCCGGAGUUAACACAAUAAGUAUCCCACCUGGGGAGUACGGCCGCAAGGUUG
rnacentral:rRNA from 1 species